GAGUUUGAUCCUGGCUCAGGAUGAACGCUAGCGGCAGGCUUAACACAUGCAAGUCGAGGGGCAUCGGGAGGGAAGCUUGCUUUCCUUGCCGGCGACCGGCGCACGGGUGAGUAACACGUAUGCAACCUGCCCUCUUCAGGGGGACAACCUUCCGAAAGGGAGGCUAAUCCCGCGUAUAUCGGUUUCGGGCAUCCGAGAUCGAGGAAAGAUUCAUCGGAAGAGGAUGGGCAUGCGGCGCAUUAGCUUGACGGCGGGGUAACGGCCCACCGUGGCGACGAUGCGUAGGGGUUCUGAGAGGAAGGUCCCCCACACUGGUACUGAGACACGGACCAGACUCCUACGGGAGGCAGCAGUGAGGAAUAUUGGUCAAUGGGAGAGAUCCUGAACCAGCCAAGCCGCGUGAGGGAAGACGGCCCUAUGGGUUGUAAACCUCUUUUGUCGGAGAACAAAACCCGGGACGUGUCCCGGACUGCGUGUAUCCGAAGAAAAAGCAUCGGCUAACUCCGUA
rnacentral:rRNA from 1 species